CCAAACUUGGUCAUUUAGAGGAAGUAAAAGUCGUAACAAGGUUUCCGUAGGUGAACCUGCGGAAGGAUCAUUGAUGAUUUAAACAGAUGUGCUGGCAGUUAUUUCAAUUGCAUGUGCACUCUGAAAAUCUAUUCUUCACCCCUGUGAACUUAUUGUAGGCUUUGGAGAAAUCCUUUGUCUAUGUUUUACUAUAUACUCCUUAUCUUGUUAAUGAAUGUCUUUCAAGUAGGCCUUACGGCUGAACGAACUUAAAUACAACUUUCAACAACGGAUCUCUUGGCUCUCGCAUCGAUGAAGAACGCAGC
rnacentral:misc_RNA from 1 species